rnacentral:rRNA from 1 species
UACGUAGGGGGCUAGCGUUGUCCGGAAUCAUUGGGCGUAAAGAGCGUGUAGGCGGCUUGGUAAGUCCGCUGUGAAAGUCCAGGGCUCAACCCUGGAAAGCCAGUGGAAACUGUCAAGCUAGAGUCCGGAAGAGGCGAGUGGAACUCCUGGUGUAGCGGUGAAAUGCGCAGAUAUCGGGAAGAACACCCGUGGCGAAGGCGGCUCUCUGGGACGGUACUGACGCUGAGACGCGAAAGCGUGGGGAGCGAACAGG